rnacentral:tRNA from 1 species
CGGGCCGGUCGGGCCGGUCGCGUCGGUCGGGCCGGUCGCGUCGGCCGGGCCGGUCGCGUCGGCCGGGCCGGUCGCGUCGGCCGGGCCGGUC